rnacentral:lncRNA from 1 species
AGUCUUUUGCAUUGCUGUUCAGCUCAUGUGAAUGAUUUCUUCUGCAACUUUUUGUGAUUCUCUCAAUUUAAAUAUUUAGCCUUUCUAGUUAGAAUGUUUGAUAGUAAUGUUAGCCAUACCCAAAUCUUCCUGGCAGCCUGUAAGUGUGAAGAUUCUAUGUAAGCCUCAUGCUACCCUGUGCCUGAAAUACCACUUGACAAAAAAAGUAUGUCUUUGAUAUUACUUAUCCCUGAGCUUCUGAGUCUGGUUAUUUUUAUUCUGUAAUUAUGUUGCAGAACACCUUGAGUGUCACAUUUAGGAAGAAUAGUAGUAAAUUCAAAUUGUUACGGCAGUCUGUCUUUCUCUCUCACCUCCCCAUUUUACAGUUUCUUUACCUUUUCAAAAAUAA